UGGAAUGUGGCCCAGUGGUAGAGCGCUUGCCUUGCAUGCAUGAGGCCCUGGGUUCGAUUCCUAAGCACCACAA
rnacentral:tRNA from 1 species